GGGAGUGACAUGGGUUCGACAUGCAGGGCUGAUGUCACACUGCAAGUCGCGGCGCCUGUCCGCGUUAACAAUGGGCUAGCACAAGAUAAGUGCCAACAACAAUACUCCGGCUUAUGCCUACGCCGCGUAAAAGCGGUUAAGCUAAGUCGCUAGCCCAGAAGAGGCUAGCCGUCCGCUCCAGCCGUCGUUACUCGGGUGGUUAAACGGGCGUCAUAAAAGGUAACGUGCGACCUCGCUUACGCCGAUAAGGUGGGGCCAAGACUUUCUCGGCUAGCGUCCGGCGUACCGCGUCAGUUGGGGCUACCGGAUAGCGAAAUUGAACAAUUGACUAAGCUUGUAGACGUGUGUCGUCGAUCUGUGUGGACCCCGGUUCGAUUCCGGGCACUUCCACAA
rnacentral:tmRNA from 1 species